GAAACCCUCUGUGACACUCCAUGAAAUCACUGUGGCGAAUCCGUCACAGAUUCCAAACAGGAUCCGAGGGGCGCGAGCCGUGAGACCGGCCUGAGAAGGAGGUUCCAGGUCCUGCCCAACCUCCGCGUCGCGACGCACACGAACAAUGAGGAGGAGGUGAACGAGUACCGGCUGGAAGUUUCUGAUUCUGGAUCUGAACCCAUUUGCCUGUGACCUUGAGGUCCCUGGUACUUCUUUCUGGGCAUCAGUCUCCCCAUCUGUGAAAGGAGGACGGACAGGGCGGCCGGGUCAUCUCCAAAUUCCACGUCUGCCCUCGGUCCGUGCCUGUCGCGCGCUGUGCUGGGUCUCUGGCCAUCCGCACCGGGUGUGCUCUCCCAGCGUUGGGCUUCCAGCUCCAGCCGUCCACUGGAUAGUCUCACCUAGCUGCCACCCAACACCCCGAACACCACACACGCAGAAUGAAGCCACCUUCUCCUGACCACUUCUGGUAGCUGCCGCCAGUGCCUCAGUGCUGGGAAAAUAGAAUAAUUGAAUCAGGCCCCCUCGCCUUCCUUUCCGGUUGGGAGUGGUGGGGCGCAUUCUUUGUAAGCAAAUUGUGUGUGGGUGGAGUUGGUGCGCGUGCGUGGUGCUGAGACUUGGCUGGCAUCUCCCUCAGGCGUCUGCCACACGCGGCCAUGCUUUCCAACCUACCACUUCCAAAGUCCCGUUUGCCGGUUACCUAGCUCUUAGACCUGCGUUUGAGGGGUCUGGUGACCCAGCCUGGCGUGUGAAGGGUUUGUGACUCUGUCUGGACAAAAGGCUUGAGGGGUCUGUGAGGUUCAGACCCAGCCCUAGGUCGACAGUUGGCUCAGUCAGCAGGAUUACGGGCAGGUAAAAGAGCUCGACACUCAGUCACCCAGGCAGGAGUCACCGAUGGCUUCCCCAUCCUCCCAGGUCUUCGCACAUCCUCUCCUCCCCACACUUCUCGAGUCCAUGACACGAAAUCGUGAUCAUUUGGCCUCCUUCUCAUUCCUGCAACUGCUCUCCCCAGUCCAGGCACGAGGACCUCCUAGCUGGUUCCCACCACCACCAUCCAUUGGACAUUGUGGCCAGAAUCGGCUCCUGGGGCAAGGUAGCAUCACUCCCUUAAAAAUAGACAGCAAUGCUUACCACUGUCCACUGCACGGAGCCUGCGGGCCAGCUCCACCCGCAGUGCAGCCCGACCUCCUCUGUGCUCGGUUCCCGGAGUGCUGGCGGCAGAUCCCCAGCACCUCUGCUCCUGGGGAGUCUUCAUCCUGUGGUGCCUGCCCUGCUCCUCUGCCCAUGCCUUCCCACAGCCAUCACCCAUAUCAACUCCAGAAAAUUCUCCCUCUCCUCCCUGCUUGUACUCCUACCUAGCCUACUGCAUCUGACCUUGUGUUGAUCUUCCGCGCUGGCCCGAGUGUCAGCUCUUUGAAGACAAAGACCUUGCUCAUGUCACACUUCCCAUGGAUCUGACAGCAGCAACAGAGAGACCUCUCUGUCUUCUCUGUGGGCCAAUGACGGCGGUGAGCAUGAGAACAGGACCCCAAGUCCCUGUGCUGUGUGGUCUGUGCUGUGUGCUGCAACCUGGUGUGUCAGUCAGUUCAUCUUGCUCAAGACUGCAUUCAAAUCCAGUGGACACUGGGGGUUGUGCCCCAUCAUCUCUCCCUGUUUGUGAUAAACAGACUGACCACCAGGUUAGAGAGCCCUAGAGAUGGUCUCACCCAGACCCUUCGUGUUACAGAUGAAGGCCCUUAGGGAAAUAAGAUGCAGCAGAACCAGGAUUCAAGUCCCUGUCUCCAAGGCAAAGCCCUGGGUUCACGUGAUUUCAGCAAAGUGGCACUGCACAUUCCAAGCAACAAAUGGUAUCACGUCAAUUUUGGGCAGGCUAAUGUCAACAUAAAAAUAUAUAUUCCCUUUUUAAUGGAUGGAUGGGUCUUGAUCAUUUACAUAUGGUACUGUAACUGAUGUUGGUUCCAAAGAAGAUUUGAAUUUUGCACUAAAUAUGUUAAUUGUAUACUUAGGUUUUGAGCUGAUGGUCCUUCAUUCCAGCAGGCCUUUAUGUAACUAUAAAAUGCACACAAGAGGGUGUAGUCUAGGCUUUAGAAUGGCUUUUCCGAUAGCCUUAUAGACAUCUCUAUCUAGAAAUCAUACCAUCUCCUCAAACGCAUGACGUACAAAAUCAAACUCAACUUACCUUCGUGUUAUUUCUGAUUGUAGCAUCCUUCUCCUAUCUCUUCUCGCUUUGAGUCACACCUGUGACCAAGCUUCAGUAACUUCUGCUUACAACAUUCCUCUAACCCUCUCUCCUCCUGUCCAGCUCCACUGGUCCUGCCCCACUCAGGCCUUCGGAGCUUCCUUCCAGUCUUCCUGCCACGGUUGCCAGGUCACUCUUCUUAAAGCUCCAUUCUGAGUGGAUCACAGUCCCCUUGCUCUUACAGUCUACAACCAUUCCCUGCCUACAAACUAAAGAGCUUGUUCAUUUGACAUCAAAGGGUUGACAAGCCCUGGCAUAAAAUCUCCUUCCCCACUUUCCAUUCCUCUGGUCUCUCUCAUGAACCUGCAUUCAGCUGAAGAAUUCCCAGUUGUCCCUGAAGAGUCCCCAGCUACUAGUGCCUAGGUUUUGCUGGCAUGUCCUUCUUCUUGUCAUCUCAAUUCCCCCAACCUGAGCCUUAGCACGCAUCAAAUCAUACCCAGUUGAGUCUCAGGCCAAAUUCCCCCUUCUCUAGGAAGCAUUCCCUAAUCUCCUGGUAAGAGUCUCUGCCACAUCUGGAAUUACACAUCUGUGCUCCCUGGAAUUAGGAAUUUAUAUGUGUGUCUUAUUUGGUGGCUGGCUUAUCUGUAAUUCUCCCAUUGUGCUGAAUGACAUAAUCAACAGCGUAUGUUUCUCAAAGUGCGGUCCAGCGCCUGAACAAGGGACAAGCCUGUUUCCUGCAUCUCAUCCAGCUCCCCUCAUGACCAGCCUCGUGGAAUGCAUGACUCAGUGAAAACCCUGCUCUACUUCUGUGUGUUUUUAAGUAGAAAAGCCUGGUUCAAGUGUGUGCUAUUGCAGACAUAAAGAUACCCAGCAGACAUUUACUAGAAUGAACAGAAUAGGCUUGUAGGGCUGUUGGCUUCACCCACUCAGCCAAAAGCCCUGAAACUUUCAUUAGGGAUCAGAGUCAUAUUUUUGAACUAUGGUCAGUCAUCUUCAGAAAACCACUGUAAAAACUCCUGACUGUCACUUGUGAGUGGGCUACACAGUCAUCAGCGUUGAUUAACACAAUAGCAUGGUUUAAUUUACCAAAUAAACCAGUCUUUACAUAACAAUGCCCAGGGGGUCUGAGACACAGGACAGAACAUUUAGGUGGCUGGGAGAGAAGAGGGCAGGAAGAAGGACAGGCUCCCAGCGAGGGUCCUGGCCUGCUGGGAGGUAGGCAGAUUGAAGAGACACUAAAACGUGACAUCGUUAGCUACCAGCUACUCUACAGUGUUGCCUAGAAGAGUCCUGAGAGCAGUGUUUUGAGCUCCACAGAGGGACAGCUACAUAUAUCUAACUACACAAUCAAUCACCAUGCCAGCUAGCAUUCAAGCACCCAUUUCUGUAUCUUGCUGAUGGGUAAUUUGUCCCCACUAUUUACCUACCUUCCAGGACCUCACCUCUAUUUUUUUCUGGUUUGCUGAAUUCCAAGCCAGUUCUAAUGAGUGAAACAUUAAUUACUUCCAAGUAAAUGGGCUUUAGAUUUCAGAAAAUCUGGUUGGGGUGGGAGAGAGUAGUAAAGGAAUGUGCUAAAUCUGAGCAUGCUGAAGGUAUCAGUGCCAGGAGAGAGGGUUUAUUUAUUCAUGAGAUAACUAACAGGAAGGAAAUACAAAGCUCUUAGGUGGCGGCUCUCCUUGCAAGGUGAGUCUCAGUGCUACACCUCUACUUCUGAGAUCUCCCUGCUGGAAGAGUCGGUUAUUUCACUCCUUAUCAGAUUAGUGCAGAAUUUGUUCAUGCUGGGCUGUCUUGUGUGUGUCCCAAUUUCGUGAAUUUUUUUUACCUUUUCUAAAGUCACUAGAAGAGUUGAUUAUAACUCUGUGGUUGGAGUUCUCCAGGUAUUUACAUCAUAAGUCCUAUGGGAGGGGGCUAUAAUCCUGUGUGACAAAAUCUUCCUAAGCUACAAUUUCCAUGCAUGCCUGGCAACUUACAAUUUGGUCAUGUCUCAUUUCUGUCUUACCAUAUUAUAAGAAAUUCAGUUUGGGGAAACUGCUGGGUUUAAAGAAAGGACAAAAGUGCAUAGUCACCUGACACAGAGAGUUUGUGUUUAAUGAGUUAGUAUUUAUAAAGCAGCUUGAGACCCUUGAGUGAAACUAGUCUAUGCAUUUAAGAGAUUGUUAACAUUUUGGUGACACACUUUUUUUUCUUACAUCAUUAAAUUACCUAAAUAACAUGAAUAUGACUAAGUUCAGUGAGCUGUGUGUGCAUUUCCAGUUCUGUCAGGACUACUGUCUUCCUCUGGAAGUAAUGAACUAUCAGCCUAUUUACCUAAGAACAAGUGUGCGGGCAAAAGAGAAGAAAUGAGACAAUCCCACAGAAUCCCAGAGUGAGAUUAAUUUGCUUUUCCAUACCAUUGAUGGGAGUACUGAGAACCUAACUGUGGGUCAAAAAUGUUUCGGUGGAAAUCAGGUCAUGAGAUUUACCUUCAGCAAGUCGCCUAAGUGUUUGGUUGUAUACAUUAUUACAAAUCAGAGUGCCAUUAUCAACUGUGUGAUUACUUCUGAUGGUCUGAAUAAUGUUAGUGAAUUAUUAAUCAUUUGUGCUAAUGGUGACAUGGAUAGCACAAUACAACAAAUUACCCCCAAAUUAUUCUUGUCUGGUCUCAGAUUGUAUAACAGUUUUGCAGUAUAUUUCCUUUGCCAAUUAUGAUUGAUUAAACUCUGGCUUAAUUAA